CGCAAACCUGGCGGGUCCAACCAACCCCGCUCUGCCGCCGCUGCUGGAACCCAGGAGGCGUGCUUGCAGGCUUCGGGCACUACGCGGGGCUGGAAAUACCACGCACUGCCCCUUCGCCUAGACCCCCGCUCGGGCCACGCGGGUUCUGCCCUCAAAGCUGCUGUUGCCAAAUGAACCCCGGAAUGCGGACGUGCAAACCCUCCACCCCACCCCCAGCCACACACGUCGCGGUCAGAGAACUGGGAAGGGGGCGCUGGGUCCGAGGUUCUGGAAAAGCAAGAACUCACCUGCAAACAGGCAGUCCUCAGCUCUGGACUUCUGGAUCACGACGUCGAUAUCCUUCUGAAUUCGGUCUUGCCUUGAACACAUCCCCAUUAAAUAAAUCCCUGGAAAAGAAGCAGCCGCUAUUUCCACCCCACCCCCCUCGCACGCUUUCAGCUUUCGUAAAUAUUCAGUUAAAAAUGAAACCUCUGGCCGAGGCAGG
rnacentral:lncRNA from 1 species